rnacentral:rRNA from 1 species
GAUCCUGGCUCAGGAUGAACGCUGGCGGCAUGCCUAAUACAUGCAAGUCGAACGAGAGGAAGGAAGGCUUGCUUUUCUGAAUCUAGUGGCGAACGGGUGAGUAACACGUAGGUAACCUGCCCAUGUGCCCGGGAUAACUUCUGGAAACGGAUGCUAAAACCGGAUAGGUAGCAGACAAGCAUUUGACUGCUAUUAAAGUGGCCUUGGCCAUGAACAUGGAUGGACCUGCGGUG